UGGGUUAGUGUCAUUUUUAUAAUCAGACUCAACUGGCCACUUCCAAAGCCCUGAUGCUGGAGGUGGCAGCGUCCUAGUUAUGGUGCUUAUCUAACUACCUAUAGCCUUUUCCUGGCUUUUUUCCCCAAGCCCUAAUUUCAAGAAUGUUGGAGAAAGCCAAGAAGAAACAAACCAGUCUUAUUUAAUAAGCUGAGGGAGGUUCAAGAAUUAGAAUUCCAUGGCCAGGGUACAGAAAGAGCAGAACAUAGGAGAACUGACUCAAACCAACCAUACAGCCACCCCUACAAAUCCUCACAGAAACUGUAAUUUGCAUUCAGAAGUUGUUCCACAGGGACUUCUGAUCCAAAAAAAAAAAAAACCCUCCCAGAUUAUCUUUAUGAAAUCAGACAUAUUAAUUAAAAGUCUACAUGCCUUUCCUCCUACCUGGUCUACAAGCACCCUUCCUUCUAUUUGGCUCCUAAAGCAGUGGAUGUCAAGCUUGUAUUUUACCAGCUCAAGAGAAAAUAUUCAUAAAAUCUAAUGGCUA